AUUUCAAAAAAGUGUUAAGGUCAUAAUACAAAACACCAGAAAUAUUCAUAUAGGGCUGUGUAUUUUGUAACAAACUUUAAUGAGAAACUUCUCAUUAGGCUCAGAUGGUAGGGGAAAUGGAAAAUACUUCAAGUGUUCUAUAUUGUGCUUGCAUGCAUUCUGGGGAAAACCAUCGCGCCUUGCGGAGGUAAUGGGCAAUGAAUUGGGUGCUGGUUGAUGCCACCAGCAAGACUUUGAAGCCUGUUCUCUCAGACUAAGCAAGGCUAAGAGCAGGAAAAAAAAGAAGGACUGGCAAGAGAAAAGAUCAUCUCUAUUUCCAACUUAGGAGUUGCAUUUGAUUCUCAUAGUGGUACCAGCAGACUGCCUGACUUCUAAUCUGAUAAAAAUCAUUGCUGUUUCCUGGGAUCCAGAUCUUGCUGAAAAUCAGCCACCUGACCUUUCCUGGUACGCUCUGACAUCAGAGUAGCCUGUAUAUUCAUGGGCUCCUUGAAAGUGCAGACAGUAACAAAGAUGCUCAACCCUCGUGGCUAAGCAGUGGGUCACAUGCAGUGCGGUCCGUCCCGUGCGGUGAAUCCAGACUGAUGGACACACUCGUUUCCACGCUUUGUGUAUCAGCUGACUCCUCGUUGCUGGACAGAGAGCCAGUAAGCACAGCCACGGUGGGAGAAGGUGAUUUACCAGCCACUCAGGGUUCAAAUGUUUCACUGGACCAAACUCCAUGCCCUACAAGUAUCUACAGAUUAGGACUGCAUUAAAUAAGAGCAACAUCAGGAAGGACAUCUUCCAGGCUUUACUGGCAUCUGAGAACCACCGUGGAUAUCGCAGUGUCCUAAGGUGAGGAGGGAAAGGAGGUUACAGAACUGAAAUGCUGACACAGGCUUGCUUCGAUAUUUUCUUUUUCCAAAGUGGAGGCUAGAAUUGUCUCACUCUAGGAG
rnacentral:lncRNA from 1 species